AACGAACGCUGGCGGCGCGUCUUAAGCAUGCAAGUCGAACGGCAAGAUUGGUGCUUGCACCGAUCCUAGAGUGGCGGACUGGUGAGUAACGCGUGGGUGACGUACCCUAAGGAUGGGGAUAGCUGGGAGAAAUAUCAGAUAAUACCGAAUAUCCUUAUUGUUGUUAGAGGACAGUAAGGAAAGGAGCUUUGGCUUCGCCUAAGGAUCGGCCCGCGUACUAUUAGCUAGUUGGUGAGGUAACGGCUCACCAAGGCGACGAUAGUUAUCCGGCCUAAGAGGGUGAACGGACACAUUGGGACUGAGAUACGGCCCAGACUCCUACGGGAGGCAGCAGCUAAGAAUAUUCCGCAAUGGAGGAAACUCUGACGGAGCGACGCCGCGUGGAUGAUGAAGGCCGGAAGGUUGUAAAAUCCUUUUAAGCAAGAAGAAUAAACUUUACAGGGAAUGGUAGAGUGGUGACGGUAUUGCUUGAAUAAGCAACGGCUAAUUACGUGCCAGCCGCCGCUGUAAUAC
rnacentral:rRNA from 1 species